GAUGAACGCUGGCGGCGUGCUUAACACAUGCAAGUCGAACGGUGAAGGCGGAGCUUGCUCUUCUGGAUCAGUGGCGAACGGGUGAGUAACACGUGAGCGAUCCGCCCCUGACUGUGGGAUAAGCGCUGGAGACGGCGUCUAAUACAGUAUACGAGCUGCGAAGGCAUCUUCAGCAGCUGUAAAGAAUUUCGGUCAGGGAUGAGCGGGCGGCCUAUCAGCUUGUUGGUGAGGUAAUGGCUCACCAAGGCGUCGAGGGGUAGCCGGCCUGAGAGGGUGACCGGCCCCCAUGGGCCUGAGGCAGGGCCCAGACUCCAACGGGAGGCAGCGGUGGGGAGUCUUACACAGCGGCGGAAAGCGUGAUGAAGCAACGCCGCGUGAGGGAAGCCGGCUUGCGGGUUGUAAACCUCUUUUAGAAGGGCAGAAGCGAAAGUGACGGUACCUGCAGAAAAAGCGCCGGCUAACUACGUG
rnacentral:rRNA from 1 species